AUGAUCGAUAUUUCCGUCCGGAACAUUAACGUGUGGCACAUGACAACAAAAAUACGGAAGAGGCUACAAUCACCUGACACAACUCGCGUAUAGCACCAUUGUGUUAUCCGUUUCUGACUGUGAUUGCCAGCCGACACAAUGGAGGACCAGGAGAUGCAGCUGAAAGUUAGACGAGUGACCGACAAAUUCACGGAGAGCAUGUACGUGCUGGCUAACGAGCCGUCGGUGGCUCUCUACAGACUGCAGGAACACGUCAGACGGUCGCUGCCUGAGCUGGUGCAACACAAGACGGACAUGCAGAGCUGGGAGGAGCAGAGUCAAGGUGCCAUCUACACUGUAGAGUACGCAUGCAGCGCCGUGAAGAGCAUGACGAACAGCAGCAUGUAUUUCAAAAACAUUGACAGCCUCCUCCGUCAGGCCAUCAGCAUGAAGGAGCAGAUUAGCAGCUCUCAAGGACGCAGACCCUUGCAUGAAGCUUACAUGACGUGACCCCCUCUCCCAGUCCCCCUGUCUCUGCUGCACAUGCCCCCACCACUUCCUCAUGACCUCUGGACAGAGGUGUCCAAGGAAAAGGACCAUGGACUCAGGCAUGCUAAAGGAAGGGGGAGAAAAGCACGGCUCUGGGAUGUGACGCGACUUCCUGAGCUGGCGGUGUUGCUUCUACAGUCCCUCGCUCCGCCACGUCUUGAUUGAGGCCGGAGCGGGGUCACAAGGGCGACACCUCCUCAUCACAAUGGAGUGACUGCCUCCAGUGACCUCCCCCAGUACAAGCCGCUCAGUGGAACAGAGCACCACAGCGCUGCCAGGUUCAGCAUUAAAAACACUUAAGUCAUGGACGCUGCUCAAAGAAUGCAUUGUUCUCGUGGACUGGCUGGACGAACCGGGGAGAGAGCAGCCGUGCUGGUUGUGCCUCUACUGUUGAAAAUCAACUGCAGCGCCAAUGUUUUGGACUCUAGUUUUCAGGGUUUUGUGAGUUUAUUGUUAAACGAUUAAGACUAAAAAGUACCCCGCAUGCAAAUUCUAAAAGCUUAACACACCUACAGAAGGAAUGCAGCAACAGGUGCCCAGUUCUUCUCUUUAUUUCAGAGUUAAAUAUAUGAGACGCCAGAUUGAGCAACAUGUUUUGAAAAGAAAAUUACUGUUCUCACCUGCCAAGUAGACAGAGACCCCGAGACAGAACAGUCCGAUAGCCACGUGUCGCACAGCUCUGCUAUCCAAAAGGAACCAGUCUGCUCUGUAGGAACAAAUGUCACAUGUUCAUGUUUACACUUUAACACUGCUGCUUAAUGAAGAUGAUUUUCUGCAACGU